GACGAACGCUGGCGGCGUGCCUAAUACAUGCCAGUAGAACGCACAGUUUAUACCGUAGCUUGCUACACCAUAGACUGUGAGUUGCGAACGGGUGAGUAACGCGUAGGUAACCUGCCUGGUAGCGGGGGAUAACUAUUGGAAACGAUAGCUAAUACCGCAUAAUAUUGAUUAUUGCAUGAUAAUUAAUUGAAAGGUGCAAUUGCAUCACUACCAGAUGGACCUGCGUUGUAUUAGCUAGUAGGUGAGGUAACGGCUCACCUAGGCGACGAUACAUAGCCGACCUGAGAGGGUGAGCGGCCACGCUGGGACUGGGACACGGCCCAGACUCCUACGGGAGGCAGCAGUAGGGAAUCUUCGGCAAUGGACGAAAGUCUGACCGAGCAACGCCGCGUGAGUGAAGAAGGUUUUCGGAUCGUAAAGCUCUGUUGUAAGAGAAGAACGGGUGUGAGAGUGGAAAGUUCACACUGUGACGGUAUCUUAACAGAAAGGGACGGCUAACUACGUG
rnacentral:rRNA from 1 species